rnacentral:lncRNA from 1 species
CUCACUGGAAUUUUUGUAAAGCAAAGAAUUAUCUUUAUCCAAUUAUUAUAAUUCAUAAUGACUGGUUUUAUGGACUUCCAUAAGAAACUUCCAGACUCAGAAGAGAGGACUCUUCGGUACAUCAACAAGUCAAUAAUGCCUUCAUGGACUCCCUGAAUAGAAUCCUCUUAUGUGUGGGUAGAAAUUUUCAACCACUCACAGCACCUCUGUGACUGACUCC